GCCAGGUGUAGUGGCGUGUGCCUGUAGUCCUAGCUACUUGGGAGGCUGAGGCAGGAGAAUUGCUUGAGCCCAGGAGUUUGAGGUUACAGUCAGCUCAGCUAUGAUCACCAUUGCUUUUCAGCCUGGGCAACUAAGCAAGACCCUGUCUCUG
ensembl:misc_RNA Metazoa_SRP Metazoan signal recognition particle RNA